rnacentral:lncRNA from 1 species
UUUAGGAUGAUAAAGACGCCUGGGCAGCUUUCUAAUGCUGUAUGCAAUGCCGUCCUGCAAACGUGUUUGGAUCUGCCUGCCGUCAAGACUCACCACUUCCCACCUGUACACUGCUGUCUGUCCUCAUUUCAAGUGAAUCACCUUGCGGUCUUCUUAUGCCAGGUUCAGAGCUCAUGCCAGACGCUGUGGAAGGAUUGUUUUUUGACUCUCUAAUACUGUGGAAGAAAAAGAGAUCUUCCAGAUAUCAGAGUUCUCCUGACAGCUGAAGAAGUGAUGGAUGAGCUGGGGUCUCAAUUCAUCAGAACAUCAAGCAGGAAGAGCAGCCCUCCAACCCCCCACCAGUUCAGAAAUGGAGACAUCGAGGAGUCCUGAGCACAGGCAGGAGAGACUAUGAAGUUAUCGUAGACUCGAUGUCCACAAGUGCCGAUAUGCAAAAUGUUACCCUUGGAGGAAACAGAAUGACGAGUACGUGGGACUUCUCUGUACUUUUUUUCUUCAAUUUCCUAUAAACAGAAUUAUUUCAAAAUAAA